GGGGACGAAAUAGAUUUCGACGAAGACACACGAAGCCUUUCCUGCAUGCCGACCACGUCAGAGCGUCGUUAAACCUAUGGCACGUCUAUAAACGACAACUUCGAAUACCAAAUGGCAGCUUAAACGCUUGCCACGUCAACCGGCGAACACCUGCUACGCUGGAAGACGCCAUCAGCAGGUUGCUGACUUCAAGCCCUCCUUAGCGCGAAGUCAUAAGCCCAGUAAGGAUAGUCUUCAGGAUCGCCCGUCCGUGGGCAUGCCUGAAGGCAAAAUCAAAUUCGCGGAAUGAGCAUGGAGAUGGGAAGUGGACGGGUUUUCGGACGAGGGUGCAAUUCCCUCCGUCUCCACAA
rnacentral:tmRNA from 1 species